rnacentral:misc_RNA from 1 species
CCCGAUUGCGGCGUCGCCGGGCUUGACCGGCGCAUUGCACAUUUGCGUGAGAUGAUCCCACCGCAAAUGAUUCCCGCUUGCUCUCGCCACAUUCCGUUGGUGGCAUGACUUCUGCUUGGUUCGAUGCACCCUAAGUUGCAAGCGAGGUGAGAGUCAUGUCCGUCAGCACCUUUCAAUCUCCCGGUCUGGUCCCGUCUGUGAAAGACCAGAUCGCUCACGCCAUCAGCGACGAUGAGUGCAUGUCGCGCCUUGCGCGCGCUGUAGCCGAGCAUGAUGACCGGCGGCUAGGCGAAGUCGGGGAGCUUUUCGG